CUACGGGCGGCAGCAGUGAGGAAUAUUGCACAAUGGGGGGAACCCUGAUGCAGCAACGCCGCGUGGAGGAUGACGCAUUUCGGUGUGUAAACUCCUUUUAUAUGUCAAGAAAACGACGGUAGCAUAUGAAUAAGCACCGGCUAACUCCGUGCCAGCAGCCGCGGUAAUACGGAGGGUGCAAGCGUUACUCGGAAUCACUGGGCGUAAAGGACGCGUAGGCGGGUUGGAAAGUCAGGUGUGAAAUCCUACAGCUUAACUGUAGAACUGCACUUGAAACUUCUAAUCUAGAGUAUGGGAGGGGGAGAUGGAAUUAGCGGUGUAGGGGUAAAAUCCGUAGAUAUCACUAGGAAUACCUAAAGCGAAGGCGAUCUCCUGGAACAUUACUGACGCUAAGGCGUGAAAGCGUGGGGAGCAAACAGGAUUAGAUACCCUAGUAGUC
rnacentral:rRNA from 1 species